UAACCUGCGGAAGGAUCAUUACCGAGUUUUCGAGCUCCGGCUCGACUCUCCCACCCUUUGUGAACGUACCUCUGUUGCUUUGGCGGCUCCGGCCGCCAAAGGACCUUCAAACUCCAGUCAGUAAACGCAGACGUCUGAUAAACAAGUUAAUAAACUAAAACUUUCAACAACGGAUCUCUUGGUUCUGGCAUCGAUGAAGAACGCAGCGAAAUGCGAUAAGUAAUGUGAAUUGCAGAAUUCAGUGAAUCAUCGAAUCUUUGAACGCACAUUGCGCCCCUUGGUAUUCCGGGGGGCAUGCCUGUUCGAGCGUCAUUACAACCCUCAAGCUCUGCUUGGAAUUGGGCACCGUCCUCACUGCGGACGCGCCUCAAAGACCUCGGCGGUGGCUGUUCAGCCCUCAAGCGUAGUAGAAUACACCUCGCUUUGGAGCGGUUGGCGUCGCCCGCCGGACGAACCUUCUGAACUUUUCUCAAGGUUGACCUCGGAUCAGGUAGGGAUACCCGCUGAACUUAAGCAUAUCAAU
rnacentral:rRNA from 1 species